ACGAACGCUGGCGGCGUGCCUAAUACAUGCAAGUAGAACGCUGAAGGAGGAGCUUGCUUCUCUGGAUGAGUUGCGAACGGGUGAGUAACGCGUAGGUAACCUGCCUGGUAGCGGGGGAUAACUAUUGGAAACGAUAGCUAAUACCGCAUAAUAGCAGUUGUUGCAUGACAACUGUUUGAAAGGUGCAAUUGCACCACUACCAGAUGGACCUGCGUUGUAUUAGCUAGUUGGUGGGGUAACGGCUCACCAAGGCGACGAUACAUAGCCGACCUGAGAGGGUGAUCGGCCACACUGGGACUGAGACACGGCCCAGACUCCUACGGGAGGCAGCAGUAGGGAAUCUUCGGCAAUGGACAGAAGUCUGACCGAGCAACGCCGCGUGAGUGAAGAAGGUUUUCGGAUCGUAAAGCUCUGUUGUAAGAGAAGAACGAGUGUGAGAGUGGAAAGUUCACACUGUGACGGUAUCUUACCAGAAAGGGACGGCUAACUACGUG
rnacentral:rRNA from 1 species